rnacentral:rRNA from 1 species
UUUAUGGAGAGUUUGAUCCUGGCUCAGGAUGAACGCUGGCGGCGUGCCUAAUACAUGCAAGUCGAGCGAACGGACGAGAAGCUUGCUUCUCUGAUGUUAGCGGCGGACGGGUGAGUAACACGUGGAUAACCUACCUAUAAGACUGGGAUAACUUCGGGAAACCGGAGCUAAUACCGGAUAAUAUUUUGAACCGCAUGGUUCAAAAGUGAAAGACGGUCUUGCUGUCACUUAUAGAUGGAUCCGCGCUGCAUUAGCUAGUUGGUAAGGUAACGGCUUACCAAGGCAACGAUGCAUAGCCGACCUGAGAGGGUGAUCGGCCACACUGGAACUGAGACACGGUCCAGACUCCUACGGGAGGCAGCAGUAGGGAAUCUUCCGCAAUGGGCGAAAGCCUGACGGAGCAACGCCGCGUGAGUGAUGAAGGUCUUCGGAUCGUAAAACUCUGUUAUUAGGGAAGAACAUAUGUGUAAGUAACUGUGCACAUCUUGACGGUACCUAAUCAGAAAGCCACGGCUAACUACGUGCCAGCAGCCGCGGUAAUACGUAGGUGGCAAGCGUUAUCCGGAAUUAUUGGGCGUAAAGCGCGCGUAGGCGGUUUUUUAAGUCUGAUGUGAAAGCCCACGGCUCAACCGUGGAGGGUCAUUGGAAACUGGAAAACUUGAGUGCAGAAGAGGAAAGUGGAAUUCCAUGUGUAGCGGUGAAAUGCGCAGAGAUAUGGAGGAACACCAGUGGCGAAGGCGACUUUCUGGUCUGUAACUGACGCUGAUGUGCGAAAG